CGCUCCCCCUCCCCAGGUGUCGCGGCUCCGCGCUCUGCCCCUGACCCACGGGCAGCUGCUGUUGGUCUGGUCGGAUGACCUGGUGGGCUCCAAGUGCCUGUGGACCUACGAGAUCCAGUUCGCCCCGGCGGGGGAGGCCUACAGGGCCCUCGGCAGGAGGCCCUCGACCUUCAACCUCUUCGUGUUCAGCCCGGACACCAAGGUCAUCUCCGGCUGCUACCGGGUUCGCGCCGUGGACUACUGGGCCCGGCCUGGCCCCUUCUCCCGCCCCGUGC